GAUGAAGAACGUAGCGAAAUGCGAUAAGUAAUGUGAAUUGCAGAAUUCAGUGAAUCAUCGAAUCUUUGAACGCACAUUGCGCCCGCCAGUAUUCUGGCGGGCAUGCCUGUCCGAGCGUCAUUUCAACCCUCGAACCCCUCCGGGGGGUCGGCGUUGGGGAUCGGCCCUGCCUCUUGGCGGUGGCCGUCUCCGGAAUACAGUGGCGGUCUCGCCGCAGCCUCUCCUGCGCAGUAGUUUGCACACUCGCAUCGGGAGCGCGGCGCGUCCACAGCCGUUAAACACCCAACUUCUGAAAUGUUGACCUCGGAUCAGGUAGGAAUACCCGCUGAACUUAAGCAUAUCAAUAAGCGGAGGA
rnacentral:misc_RNA from 1 species